rnacentral:rRNA from 1 species
GACGAACGCUGGCGGCGUGCUUAACACAUGCAAGUCGAGCGGAAAGGCUCCUUCGGGGGUACUCGAGCGGCGAACGGGUGAGGAACACGUGAGUAAUCUGCCCUGCGCUCUGGGAUAGCCACCGGAAACGGUGAUUAAUACCGGAUAUGACCGCAACACGCAUGUGUUGGUGGUGGAAAGUUUUUCGGAGCAGGAUGUGCUCGCGGCCUAUCAGCUUGUUGGUGAGGUAAUGGCUCACCAAGGCUUUGACGGGUAGCCGGCCUGAGAGGGUGGCCGGUCACACUGGGACUGAGACACGGCCCAGACUCCUACGGGAGGCAGCAGUGGGGAAUAUUGGACAAUGGGCGGAAGCCUGAUCCAGCAACGCCGCGUGAGGGAUGACGGCCUUCGGGUUGUAAACCUCUUUCAGUACCGACGAAGCGAAAGUGACGGUAGGUACAGAAGAAGGACCGGCCAACUACGUGCCAGCAGCCGCGGUAAGAC